UACGUAGGGAGCAAGCGUUAUCCGGAUUUAUUGGGUGUAAAGGGUGCGUAGACGGAGAUACAAGUUGGUUGUGAAAUCCCUCGGCUCAACUGAGGAACUGCAACCAAAACUAUAUCCCUUGAGUACUGGAGGGGAAAGUGGAAUUCCUAGUGUAGCGGUGAAAUGCGUAGAUAUUAGGAGGAACACCAGUGGCGAAGGCGACUUUCUGGACAGUAACUGACGUUGAGGCACGAAAGCGUGGGGAGCAAACAGG
rnacentral:rRNA from 1 species